GCCCGGUUAGCUCAGUCGGAAGAGCGUGAGACUUUUAGGUUAUCAAUAGAGAAGCCUGCUAUCUCAAUGUCAGGGGUUCGAGCCCCCUAUCGGGCG